CGUAUCAAGGAGCGUUGCGACAGAGUCCCAUUCUGCCAGGCUUGAUACAGUCAACAAUGCAACCGCGCUCACGUUAC
rnacentral:ncRNA from 2 species